CGGGUGAGUAACGCGUAGAUAAUCUGCCUUAGACUCUGGGAUAACAUCUCGAAAGGGGUGCUAAUACCGGAUAAGCCCACGAAGACGUGAGUCUUUGCGGGAAAAGGGGGCCUCUGCAUAUGCUCUUGAUCUAAGAUGAGUCUGCGUACCAUUAGCUUGUUGGUAGGGUAAUGGCCUACCAAGGCGACGAUGGUUAGCUGGUCUGAGAGGAUGAUCAGCCACACUGGGACUGAGACACGGCCCAGACUCCUACGGGAGGCAGCAGUGGGGAAUUUUGCGCAAUGGGGGAAACCCUGACGCAGCAACGCCGCGUGAGUGAUGAAGGCUUUCGGGUCGUAAAGCUCUGUCUAGAGGGAAGAAGUGAUAUUUGGUUAAUACCCAGAUUUCUUGACGGUACCUCUGAAGGAAGCGCCGGCUAACUCCGUGCCAGCAGCCGCGGUAAUACGGAGGGUGCAAGCGUUGUUCGGAAUUAUUGGGCGUAAAGCGCGUGUAGGCGGUUUGUUAAGUCUGAUGUGAAAGCCCUGGGCUCAACCUGGGAAGUGCAUUGGAAACUGGCAGACUUGAAUACGGGAGAGGGUAGUGGAAUUCCGAGUGUAGGAGUGAAAUCCGUAGAUAUUCGGAGGAACACCGGUGGCGAAGGCGGCUACCUGGACCGAUAUUGACGCUGAGACGCGAAAGCGUGGGUAGCAAACAGGAUUAGAUACCCUGGUAGUCCACGCCGUAAACGAUGAGUACUAGGUGUUGCG
rnacentral:rRNA from 1 species